AUGUAAUUUUUGGAGGUCGUUUAGUAUGUUACAAAAAGAAAGAAGUUUGGACCAAAAAUGUUGAAGGUGAGAUUCAAACCCAAGACCUCGACCCGAGCCGAACCUCAGCCGAACCCAGCCAACCAAUUGGUCUGCGGUUGAUUUGUGAUUAAGAAGGGGAGCGAAUUUAAUUAUGUUGUAGUUGGAGCAGAAUUUAAACCUAGUUAUAAGUUUUCCCUUUCUCGCCGAAAACACUAUCUGCCCUUCUCCCCGAUCCCGACUGCGUGCGGCGCUCCUGCUAGGGCGACAGUGAAGAAGAAGCUAGGUUUUGGUCUCCGGCGGCUGGCGAUGGCCUUCUUUCGGCGAACCUUGCGGAUCCGAGCUCCUCUCGCCUAAGAGAACGCGUGAGCACGAAAGGGAAGCCGAAGUCUUCAUCUCCCCGGAAGCCCUAGCAGCCCUACUGCCGGUUGUAAGUCCAAGAACAAUAUAUAAAGGAAAAGCUAAAGUAUGAAAGGAAGGCGACAAGGUGGUGGUGAUGAAGGUGUGUGAUGACUGGACUAUGGAGAGAUCCAGAGUUUGCUAGCAGAAUUUAAGGACCUACCUGUUUGGAGUUUCAGUUUAUGUUUUUAGUUUUCUUUUAAUGUUAUUAUGAGUUGAGGUUGUAAUUAAGUUUAUUCCGCACUUGUAAUUAGUUUUCUUUUAUUA